rnacentral:rRNA from 1 species
GACAGAGGGUGCAAACGUUGUUCGGAAUUACUGGGCGUAAAGCGCGUGUAGGCGGCCCAGCAAGUCGGAUGUGAAAGCCCUGGGCUUAACCUAGGAAGUGCAUUCGAAACUGCUGGGCUUGAGUUCUGGAGAGGAAGGCGGAAUUCUCGGUGUAGAGGUGAAAUUCGUAGAUAUGUGGAAGAAUACCGGUGGUGAAGACGGUUUUCUGGGCUGAUACUGACGCUGAGGCGCGAAAGCAAGGGGAGCAAACAGG